rnacentral:tRNA from 1 species
GCGGUAAGGCAGAGGUCUGCAAAACCUUUAUCCCCAGUUCGAUUCUGGGUGCCGCCU